GGGAAUACUACAAAGCUAGGGAGUGGGAGAGGUAGACGGUACUCGGUAGGAAGGGGUAAAAUCCUUUGAUCUAUUGAUGACCACCUGUGGCGAAGGGCGGUCUACCAGAACACGUCCGACGGUGAGGGAUGAAAGCUGGGGGAGCAAACCGGAUUAGAUACCCGGGUAGUCCCAGCCGUAAACCAUGCAAACUCAGUGAUGCAUUGGCUUGUGGCCAAUGCAGUGCUGCAGGGAAGCCGUUAAGUUUGCCGCCUGGGAAGUACGUACGCAAGUGUGAAACUUAAAGGAAUUGGCGGGGGAGCACCACAAGGGGUGAAGCCUGCGGUUCAAUUGGAGUCAACGCCAGAAAUCUUACCCGGAGAGACAGCAGAAUGAAGGUCAAGCUGAAGACUUUACCAGACAAGCUGAGAGGUGGUGCAUGGCCGUCGCCAGCUCGUGCCGUGAGAUGUCCUGUUAAGUCAGGUAACGAGCGAGAUCCCUGCCUCUAGUUGCCACCAUUACUCUCAGGAGUAGUGGGGCGAAUUAGCGGGACCGCCACAGUUAAUGUGGAGGAAGGAAGGGGCCACGGCAGGUCAGUAUGCCCCGAAACUCUGGGGCCACACGCGGGCUGCAAUGGUAGUGACAAUGUGUUCCAAAUCCGAAAGGAGGAGGUAAUCCUCAAACACUACCACAGUUAUGACUGAGGGCUGCAACUCGCCCUCACGAAUAUGGAAUCCCUAGUAACUGCGUGUCAUUAUCGCGCGGUGAAUACGUCCCUGCUCCUUGCACACACCGCCCGU
rnacentral:rRNA from 1 species